rnacentral:rRNA from 1 species
GACGAACGCUGGCGGCGUGCUUAACACAUGCAAGUCGAGCGGGGAUUCAAAACGGAAGUCUUCGGAUGGAAGGUUUGAAUUCUAGCGGCGGACGGGUGAGUAACGCGUGAGCAAUCUGUCCUACACAGGGGGAUAACACUUGGAAACAGGUGCUAAUACCGCAUAAGACCACGGGAUCACAUGUUCCUGAGGUAAAAGAUUUAUCGGUGUAGGGUGAGCUCGCGUCCGAUUAGCUAGUUGGUGAGGUAACGGCCCACCAAGGCGACGAUCGGUAGCCGACCUGAGAGGGUGAUCGGCCACAUUGGAACUGAGACACGGUCCAAACUCCUACGGGAGGCAGCAGUGGGGAAUAUUGGGCAAUGGGCGCAAGCCUGACCCAGCAACGCCGCGUGAGUGAAGAAGGUUUUCGGAUUGUAAAGCUCUAUCCUCGAGGACGAAGGAAGUGACGGUACUCGAGAAGGAAGCCCCGGCUAACUACGUG